rnacentral:rRNA from 1 species
UACGUAGGGUGCAAGCGUUGUCCGGAAUCAUUGGGCGUAAAGCGCGCGUAGGUGGCUUCGUAAGUCCGUUGUGAAAGUCAAAGGCUCAACCUUUGAAUGCCGAUGGAUACUGCGAAGCUAGAGUACGGAAGAGGCGAGUGGAAUUCCUGGUGUAGCGGUGGAAUGCGCAGAUAUCAGGAGGAACACCAAUAGCGAAGGCAGCUCGCUGGACGUUACUGACACUAAGGCGCGAAAGCGUGGGGAGCGAACAGG